GGAGUAAAGCUUGUUGUGAGAGGUCAGCAGACGCCAUAGUACGCCUGUUGCGUCAGCGGCAAGCGGAAGGGC
rfam:Paenibacillus stellifer strain DSM 14472, complete genome.